CCUACGGGUGACAGCAGUGGGGAAUAUUGGACAAUGGGGGGAACCCUGAUCCAGCGACGCCGCGUGAGUGAAGAAGUAUUUCGGUAUGUAAAGCUCUAUCAGCAGGGAAGAAAGAAAUGACGGUACCGGACUAAGAAGCCCCGGCUAACUACGUGCCAGCAGCCGCGGUAAGACGUAGGGGGCAAGCGUUAUCCGGAUUUACUGGGUGUAAAGGGAGCGUAGACGGCGAUGCAAGUCUGAAGGGAAAGGCGGGGGCCCAACCCCCGGACUGCUUUGGAAACGGUAUGGCUGGAGGGCAGGCGAGGUACGUGGAUUUCCUAGUGUAGCGGUGAAAUGCGUCGAUAUUAGGAGG
rnacentral:rRNA from 1 species